UGUAAAAGUGUUGUAGCACUGUCGUUUGAAUACUCUCAUUUGCAGGAAAGCUUACAGGCCUUCUUCUUCAUGGUAACGGUUUCUGUCAUACGGAGGUAAGGGGAUACUUCGGUGCUGUCCAACAAGGCGUCUGUUAUCAGAGGGAAAUGUGUCCGUUCAGAGUGUUUUUUCCGGCGUCCUGGAACGCACCCUGUCUGGUUGCCAGGCAAUGUAGCCAGUUGGGAGUUCUGAUGACCCGCACCUGUAUCCCAUCAGCUAUCUGCACACCUGGUCCUGAUCAUCAUCUCUCCUCUUCAUAAGCCCGGACCUGACAUCCAUUCCCUGCCAGAUCGUUAGCCAUGAACAUUACUCACCCGGAUCAUUUACCCCAUUCCCGCCUGGUCGUCGGAGGAUUCCGCUACCCCAUUGGAUCCACCUAUUUACUCCCAUCAACUCACCACCG